GUAUUUCCGGCUGAUGCGUGAAGGCUUUUAGAAGCUUAACUUGAGCAGAGUUGGGGCUUCGUUGAGUUGAGUUUCGAGACUUCUUGUGGCUGGAUUGAGCUUAGUGAUAGAGCCUUCCACAGCGGGAAAGGCUAGGGUUUCUGGC